CCUACGGGAGGCAGCAGUGGGGAAUAUUGGACAAUGGGGGCAACCCUGAUCCAGCCAUGCCGCGUGUGUGAAGAAGGCCCUCGGGUUGUAAAGCACUUUCAGUGAGGAAGAACGCCUGGUGGUUAAUACCCAUCAGGAAAGACAUCACUCACAGAAGAAGCACCGGCUAACUCCGUGCCAGCAGCCGCGGUAAUACGGAGGGUGCGAGCGUUAAUCGGAAUUACUGGGCGUAAAGCGCGCGUAGGUGGCUUGAUAAGCCGGUUGUGAAAGCCCCGGGCUCAACCUGGGAACGGCAUCCGGAACUGUCAAGCUAGAGUGCAGGAGAGGAAGGUAGACUUCCCGGUGUAGCGGUGAAAUGCGUAGAGAUCGGGAGGAAUACCAGUGGCGAAGGCGGCCUUCUGGACUGACACUGACAAUGAGGUGCGAAAGCGUGGGUAGCAAACAGGAUUAGAUACCCUGGUAGUC
rnacentral:rRNA from 1 species